UGUAAAGAUGAUACUACAGGGGCUCAUUAU
rnacentral:piRNA from 1 species